CCUACGGGAGGCAGCAGUGGGGAAUUUUGGACAAUGGGCGCAAGCCUGAUCCAGCAAUGCCGCGUGAGUGAAGAAGGCCUUCGGGUUGUAAAGCUCUUUUGUCAGGGAAGAAAAGGUGCGCUCUAACAUAGCGUACUGAUGACGGUACCUGAAGAAUAAGCACCGGCUAACUACGUGCCAGCAGCCGCGGUAAUACGUAGGGUGCAAGCGUUAAUCGGAAUUACUGGGCGUAAAGCGUGCGCAGGCGGUUUUAUAAGUCUGAUGUGAAAUCCCCGGGCUCAACCUGGGAACUGCAUUGGAGACUGUAAGGCUAGAGUGUGUCAGAGGGGGGUAGAAUUCCACGUGUAGCAGUGAAAUGCGUAGAUAUGUGGAGGAAUACCGAUGGCGAAGGCAGCCCCCUGGGAUAACACUGACGCUCAUGCACGAAAGCGUGGGGAGCAAACAGGAUUAGAUACCCUGGUAGUCCACGCCCUAAACGAUGUCUACUAGUUGUCGGGACUUAAUUGUCUUGGUAACGCAGCUAACGCGUGAAGUAGACCGCCUGGGGGAGGUACGGUCGCGAAGAAGUUAAACUAACGAAGAAGUAGUAGACGNGAGAGAGCGACGACGGACGACGACGGAGGGAGGAG
rnacentral:rRNA from 1 species